CCUACGGGCGGCAGCAGUGGGGAAUAUUGGGCAAUGGAGGAAACUCUGACCCAGCAACGCCGCGUGAAUGAUGAAGGUCUUCGGAGUGUAAAGUUCUUUUCUAAGGGAAGAAGAAAGUGACGGUCCCUUAGGAAUAAGCCUCGGCUACCUACGUGCUAGCAGCCGCGGUAUGACGGAGGAGGCGAGCGUUCGCCGGAAUGACUGGGCGUAAGGGGUGCGUAGGUGGUUGGGCAAGUUAGUAGCGAAACCCCGAGGCUAAACUUCGGAAUUGCCCCUGAUACUGUUGGGCAUGAGUGUAGUUGCGGUAGGCGGAAGGUAUGGUGUAGCGGUGAGAUGCUUAGAGAUCAUACAGAACACCGAUUGCGAAGGCAGCUUAACAAGCUAAGUCUGACGUUGAGGCACGAAAGCGUGGGGAGCAAACAGGAUUAGAUACCCGUGUAGUC
rnacentral:rRNA from 1 species